rnacentral:lncRNA from 1 species
CUGUGAACAGAUCCUUCUCCAUGCUUUUCCAUGACAGAAGUGCAUCUUUUUUUCUGGGAGAGUUCAAGUGCGGGUCGAACAAUCGAUUCCUCCUCCUUUUCUUUUUUAAGUUUCCUGUCGUUCUUUUGCCCAGAUCAGCACUGAAGGAAAAUAGGAAGGGCAGCCUGGAGUGUGCACGUCUGUACAGCCAGAGACAGAACGCACGGCUGCGUCUGUGUGAGCACACGCAGGAUUUCAUACUUACACAAACACGUACACACACACACACACACACACACACGUAUGUUUGGUCCUGCCUGUCUGUGUGCACCAAACACUGCGGCGUUCUUACAGGACACGUAUUUCAGAGACGGGAAUAAAGCUGGGAAGUGGGAAAAGUUUGGAAGCACUGCUCGGUUCCAAGCCGGACUAUUAACCCUUCCCAACAUUCUCCCCCAGGAACUGCAAAAGCUUUGAAGGAAAUGCUGUAAGAUCCCAGACAGUUCCUACAAUUUUCCACGUGGGGAGAAAGGAGGGUUAUUCUGCGAGCAGCAUUGUUCCAGCACCAUAAAUUCAGCUGAUUAUCCACAAUCCUUACGGCUGCGUUUAGUCUCAUAAAGGUACUUUUCCAACAUUUUCACCGCAGCAGUGGGGGGGGGGGGACCAGGAAUGGGGGGGGGACAGACAGAAAUAUAAGAAAAGCAAAACAAAUGACACCAUUAAUCUGCCUGGAUUUUCCACCUCAUAGAACAAUCUGUUUAGGAAUGACUGAAAUAAAGUGGAAUGUGGUUUAGAUUUCUUUUUUCCCCUUUACAAUCUCUCUCUCUCUGCAAAUUCCUUGUUUAUGGAGAAACACUGAAAACAGGAGUUAGUCCCACCAACCCCUUAGC